rnacentral:rRNA from 1 species
AUGGACCCGCGUCUGAUUAGCUGGCUGGUGGGGUAACGGCCUACCAAGGCGACGAUCAGUAGCCGGCCUGAGAGGGCGACCGGCCACAUUGGGACUGAGACACGGCCCAAACUCCUACGGGAGGCAGCAGUGGGGAAUAUUGCACAAUGGGGGAAACCCUGAUGCAGCGACGCCGCGUGAGCGAAGAAGUAUUUCGGUAUGUAAAGCUCUAUCAGCAGGGAAGAUAAU